rnacentral:rRNA from 1 species
AUGAACGCUGGCGGCGUGCCUAAUACAUGCCAGUCGAGCGAACAGACGAGGAGCUUGCUCCUCUGACGUUAGCGGCGGACGGGUGAGUAACACGUGGAUAACCUACCUAUAAGACUGGGAUAACUUCGGGAAACCGGAGCUAAUACCGGAUAAUAUAUUGAACCGCAUGGUUCAAUAGUGAAAGACGGUUUUGCUGUCACUUAUAGAUGGAUCCGCGCCGCAUUAGCUAGUUGGUAAGGUAACGGCUUACCAAGGCGACGAUGCGUAGCCGACCUGAGAGGGUGAUCGGCCACACUGGAACUGAGACACGGUCCAGACUCCUACGGGAGGCAGCAGUAGGGAAUCUUCCGCAAUGGGCGAAAGCCUGGCGGAGCAACGCCGCGUGAGUGAUGAAGGUCUUCGGAUCGUAAAACUCUGUUAUUAGGGAAGAACAAAUGUGUAAGUAACUAUGCACGUCUUGACGGUACCUAAUCAGAAAGCCACGGCUAACUACGUG